CAGCAUUUGUGGUGUCCCAGUUCCUUUAUUGUUCCUGUUGUUAAUUGGCUAAAGAGACUCCAUGACCAUGUUGACCAGUCUUCUGCUUCUCAGUGCUGCCUUUGCUCUGGGAGAUGCAAAUUCAUUGCUAGAAGAAGACUUGUGUCCUUCCGCUUGGACCAAAUAUGGAUCACGCUGUUUAAUGUUUGUAAAGACUACAAGGAGCUGGCCUGAA